rnacentral:rRNA from 1 species
GAUGAACGCUGGCGGCGUGCCUAAUACAUGCAAGUCGAGCGCAGAAGCUUGGUACUUGUACCUACUGGAUGAGCAGCGAACGGGUGAGUAACGCGUGGGGAACCUGCCUUUGAGCGGGGGACAACUUCUGGAAACGAAUGCUAAUACCGCAUAAAAUCUUUAAACACAAGUUUCAAGAUUGAAAGAUGCAAUUGCAGCAACUUAAGAUGAUCCCGCGUUGUAUUUGCCAGUUGGUGAGGUAAACGCCCACCAAGGCGAAGAUACAUAGCCGACCUGAGAGGGGGGUCGGCCACAAUGGGACUUGGACACGGCCCAAGCCUCUACGGGAGGCAGCAGGAGGGAAUCUUUGGGCAUUGACGAAAGGCUGACCGGGCAACGCCGCGGGAAGGGAGAAGGUUUUCGGAUCGGAAAACUCUGUUUGUAGAGGAGAACGUUAGUGGGAGUGGAAAGCUCAUCAAGUGACGGUAACUACUCAGAAAGGGACGGCUAACUACGUG